rnacentral:rRNA from 1 species
UACGGGGGGGGGCACGCGUUGUUCGGACUUACUGGGCGUAAAGGGCUCGUAGGCGGCCAACUAAGUCGAACGUGAAAUCCCUCAGCUUAACUGGGGAACUGCGUCCGAUACUGGUUGGCUUGAAUCCGGAAGAGGGAUGCGGAAUUCCAGGUGUAGCGGUGAAAUGCGUAGAUAUCUGGAGGAACACCGGUGGCGAAGGCGGCAUCCUGGGUCGGUAUUGACGCUGAGACGCGAAAGCGUGGGGAGCGAACAGG